rnacentral:rRNA from 1 species
GAUGAGGGAGACAAAGAAAGAAAUGCCUCCCUCAUGAGACGUGAGACGUCGGUGAUUAAAGUGAAGCUAUAUUCUUGACAACCACUAAUCCUAAUUCUAUUUGUGAACCAGAUACCAUUAUCAUCAUCCUCAUGACAUCAUCGUACCAACAACCUCCACUAGCUGGUUGAUGAUUACUUUUUAAUUUUUUAUUUUGCCUGUCUACUAAUCGAUGGUAUCAAAAAGAGGCACUUGUGCUUCCCCUCCCCUUAUUAAUUCGCUCCGUCCGUACCGCCGCUUCUUCGGCUCAUCACGAUAGCUGUACCGCCUCGACCUGGGCCACGACGUGCCCCACCCGAAGCUCUACGUCCUCCACAGCGGCAGCGACGAGAGGCCGGCCGAGGGCCAGUGCCUCGCGACGACGGUCGGCAAGUUCCACGACGUGCCGCCGCACAGCCGCGACCACAGCCUCCCGGACCGGUCGUACCCGCGCGUGUACCGCAGGCCGAUGGCGGCGCAGCGGCCGCACGUGGAGCGGUAGUUGGUGAAGGCGUCGCGGCGGGAGCCGCUGCAGCAGGAGCGCGCGCGGCAGGGGCAGGUGGAACCUGCGAGGUGGGUCCACACCCUCCACUUCGACACCUUCUACCUGGGCAGCCUCCUCCCCUUCUUCCCGGGCGUCUAGAGGCUCAGGUCCCAGUGCGACGAGACGUUGGACGGGCACGGCCUGUUGGACGUGGUGCGGCCGCUGCGGGAGUUCUUCAUGCGACGGCGUCGUUGCUGCUGUUGGUGGGGGUGGUCGUUUGACAUUGAUCAUGAUCAUAGUGGGGAGAGGCACAUAUAAAUGAUGAGGUAUAUUAAAAGGUGAAGAACAAACCAGCGGAUAGCUCGCUAAUUUUUAGGUUCUCGUUUGUUUUGGGAUAGUUAAUGAGGAAAAAAGAAAACUAAACUGUAAUAGGAUAGCCAAUGAGGAAAAAGAAACCGUAAUAGGAUAGUCAAUGAAAGUGGUCGUGAGGAAACAUUUGAUUAUAUUCUCACAAAUUUAGUAAUAAAAUUAUAAAAUAUUUGCGAAAAUAUAAUCAAAUGCCUCGCUCAUGUUACAUAGACCAGAUACGUUCAUACGUAACGCACAACAAGACAGGAGAGUUCCAUAGUUAGUUCGUCGGGGACUUACAAGAAGUCACCCAAAUCAAGCAGA